rnacentral:rRNA from 1 species
GAUCCAGGCUCAGGAUGAACGCUAGCUACAGGCUUAACACAUGCAAGUCGAGGGGAAACGGGCAUUGAGUGCUUGCUACUCUUUGGACGUCGACCGGCGCACGGGUGAGUAGCGCGUAUCCAACCUUCCCAUUACUGUGGGAUAACCUGCCGAAAGGCAAGACUAAUACCGCAUAGUCUUCGAUGACGGCAUCAGAAUUUGAAGUAAAGAUUUAUCGGUAAUGGGAUGGGG